GACAGAGGCCUCAAGCGUUAGGCGGAAUCACUGGGCUUAACGCGUGUGUAGGCGGAUCGUUAAGUGUCUUGUGAAAUCCCACGGCUCACCCGUGGAACUGCUGGGCAUACUGGCGAUCUUGGGCCAACUAGGGGCAGCCGGAACAAGCGGUGGAGCGGUGAAAUGCGUAGAUAUCGCUUGGAACGCCGAAGGUGAAAACAGGCUGCUGGGGUUGCGCCGACGCUGAGACACGAAAGCCAGGGGAGCAAACGGG
rnacentral:rRNA from 1 species